GAAAUGCGAUAAGUAGUGUGAAUUGCAGAAUUCAGUGAAUCAUCGAAUCUUUGAACGCACAUUGCGCCCCUUGGUAUUCCAUGGGGCAUGCCUGUUCGAGCGUCAUUUGUACCCUCAAGCUCUGCUUGGUGUUGGGUGUUUGUCCCGUCUCCGCGCGUGGACUCGCCCCAAAGUGAUUGGCAGCCGGCGUACUGGUCCCGGAGCGCAGCACAUGUCGCGCAAACGAGUGCCUUGGUACGGCGGCGUCCAUAAGCACCUCUCUCACGCUCUUGACCUCGGAUCAGGUAGGGAUACCCGCUGAACUUAAGC
rnacentral:misc_RNA from 1 species